UACGAAGGGGGCUAGCGUUGCUCGGAAUCACUGGGCGUAAGGGGUGCGUAGGCGGGUCUUUAAGUCAGAGGUGAAAUCCUGGAGCUCAACUCCAGAACUGCCUUUGAUACUGAGGAUCUUGAGUUCGGGAGAGGUGAGUGGAACUGCGAGUGUAGAGGUGAAAUUCGUAGAUAUUCGCAAGAACACCAGUGGCGAAGGCGGCUCACUGGCCCGAUACUGACGCUGAGGCACGAAAGCGUGGGGAGCAAACAGG
rnacentral:rRNA from 1 species